rnacentral:rRNA from 1 species
AUACGUAGGGUGCAAGCGUUAAUCGGAAUUACUGGGCGUAAAGCGUGCGCAGGCGGUUUUGUAAGACAGAGGUGAAAUCCCCGGGCUCAACCUGGGGACUGACUUUGUGACUGCAAGGCUAGAGGACGGCAGAGGGGGGUGGAAUUCCGCGUGUAGCAGUGAAAUGCGUAGAUAUGCGGAGGAACACCGAUGGCGAAGGCAAUCCCCUGGGCCUGCACUGACGCUCAUGCACGAAAGCGUGGGGAGCAAACAGGAUUAGAUACCCUGGUAGUCCACGCCCUAAACGAUGUCAACUGGUUGUUGGGGAUUUAUUUUCUCAGUAACGAAGCUAACGCGUGAAGUUGACCGCCUGGGGAGUACGGCCGCAAGGUUAAAACUCAAAUGAAUUGGCGGGG